rnacentral:lncRNA from 1 species
AUGAACGGUCUCUUUAGCUAAAGAGUUAUAACUUUUAUGUAUAUAUUAUAAUAUAAUUAAUUUAAUUUAAAUAAGUUUAUCUUUAAUAGGAUAGGCACAAGCAAAUUUACUUGCAGUGUCCUACUAUCAAGAUUAUACAAUUUACUUUAAGAAUUCAAAAAAAAAAAAACUAUUCACGAUAUGAUGACAUAAUAAAGAGGUUUCAGUAUCUCUAUGUAAUUUUUGUGUUAUGUUAAAGUGUGAAACUUCUACCGAUUAGCAUAUUCUUG